UGAAAAAAAUAAUUGUUUCAAUUUUAAGAAAAAAUUGUCAUUUUUCAUCAUCGCCAAGGAUGAUGAUGAAUUGAUGAUGAAUGCAUGACAUCCCUUACAUCUUCAUAACCUAAAAUAUGAUUUUUAUAGGUGUGCAUGUUUCAUACAAAAAUGAAUCUUCUGUGGUAUUUCACUUAAGAGAAAACAUCACUCUGAGCUGUACUGGAGAAGAUGAAGUCGUAUGGAGAGUUCGGAGCAUAUCCACAAAUUAUAGUGUAAAGGUGGAGACCCCUUACAGGAAAAUAAUUGAAAUAAGAAAUGCCACAGUUGAAAACAUUGGAUUUUACGAUUGUUAUUCAAAGGGGAAUCAGGAUGACUUGAUGAGGCUUGGGCUGGUGCCUCAUGUAUACGCGUACUUAGAGAUGGGGUAUAAAAUCCAUGGGGAAUCACAACGUCCCGUCGUGAUUCCUCCGUGAUCAAUGAUGAAUCAAUUAAAAUUCAGCAUACAUUACAAGAUUCUUAUUUGAUGUACCUACUACCUAGUACCUACCUACCUAA